UACGUUGAUUUUCAUGGAAUUAUGAAUACUGAUUUGAUCAAGAAUUUAACUAUUACAGUAUUCUUAGAAAAACCAAUUUAACAAUUAUAACAUAAAAAUAAACUUUAAGCACAACAAUUAUUAUUACUAUGCAAUGUCAUUAUAUUAUGAUACAGUCAACUAUUGUUAAUAUUGUUGUUUAAGCUUAAAAUUUAUAAGUCCUUACAAGUCCCACAUCGGAAGCUUUUGAGAAACUAAAGAAGAAACUAAAUACAAUGUGUGAUAAGAAUAGGGUCACUUGGCAUUGAGGAUACAACAAUAAAGUUAAAGUUUAAAUUGCAGUGUCCUCAUCCAUUAUUUGUGGUAGAAUUUAAUGUUGGUAUGCUGGUUUUUGUGUUUUUCAAGCAAAUUAACAUGCAGAAUUAUUUACGGUAGAAUUUAAUGUCGGUAUACUGGUUAAGUAUUUAAAAAUAUAAAUUCUGUAUCGAAAUGUGUGCAUU
rnacentral:lncRNA from 1 species